GGACCAAUGAUGAUUACUGGUGGUUUGAAUCAUGGAUGAUAAAUAACAUGUGUCAGAAACUCUGAGGUCCAGCAAAAAAAAAAAAAUCUAAGUCAGUCUUUCUGUAGGGAUCCUGUAGGUAGAAGUCAGGGAUAUACAAAGAUCUUGUUUAUUUCUUGUGUUCUUUCAUGAAUUUUCACUUCAUUAUUAUAGUCAGAGCAGGGAAAUAAAUAAUCAAAUAAGUAAAUAAAAGAAAUGGAGUGUGUGAAUAUCUCAUAUAAAAAUUUGUAUUCACGCAAGAAAUGCUGUAAAAAAUUGAGAAGACACUUAAAACCAAAGAGAAAGAAAGAGUACAUGACUUAAAUUUUUGGCUAAUUUAAUACAGACAAUAGUAAGUAAUAGUCGUGGCUCACCUUCUGUGUCAGGGAUAAGUUUUAAGUUCAUUUUCUUAAGAGAAAAUGAAACAUACUCCAAAUAAAAGAUUGUCUAAAUCACUGAAAAGUGAAAUGCGCAAGUAAGGACCAAUGACAAUUAGGUCUCGAUUCGUGGACAUCGCCUCUGCCCCGUACGUCACGGAAUGGGUGCCUUGAGAUGAUUUAAGUUUCCUCCAUGAUCAAGAGCCCCCUGGUUGCAUCUUUGUGUUAGAAUCAUGGAGAACAACGGAAUCGUCAGUGUCCUUGUGUGGGACGGAGCCAUGUUUUUAGAUAAGGUAUUACUGUAUUAUUAAAAAUAUUAAGUAUAAUCAAAGAAGUCCAAACACGCCACUGUCAGUGACCAUGGAUGGAAAAGAAUGUGAUGCUAUAUCCGUAUAUGAUACACUGAAUUCAGUUAAUGAAAGGGCUGGGUCUCCGCGGAGGUGACUUUAUAGACUGAUGUUAGGAUUAUUCAAAGGACUUACAAUUUUUUUUGUGAUUGAUGUUUAUUUAAGUAAUUGUGAAUUAAUCAAAACAAAAAUGUCCAUGAACGAGAAAAGAGCCAGUGUGCUUCUGUGGGAAAUGAUGCCCAAGAUCAAAGUUAGGAAGAGACAAACGUCAGAUUCCCAUUUGGAGUUUAUAAAUGUAAAUGUAUAAUUAAUAAUACAUAGAAGAACAAUUGUAAAAUAAAACAACCAUAUAAAAGAAGCUGAAGGAUUGUCGUAUGAAACAUGUGGUAGGACAAGAAACACUAUUUUUUUUUUCUUUUUUUGGCUUUUGCCAUUUCUUGGGAUGCUCCCGCAGCAUAUGAAUGUUCCCAGGCUAGGGGUCUGACUGGAGCUGUAGCUGCUGGCCUACGCCAGAGUCCACAGCAAUGCAGGAUCUGAGCCCCGUCCGCAAGCUACACCAUAGCUCAGGGCAACGCAGAUCCUUAACCCACUGAGCAAGGCCAGGGAUCGAACCCGCAACCUCAUGGUUCCUAGUCGGAUUCGUUAACCACUGAGCCACGACGGGAACUCCAAGAAGUACUAUUAAUAAAACUGUAAAUGUUUGUUAUAAUUAAGCAGUAAAUGAGUAAGCAUUUUGCAUGUUCGUGGAAAGGAUCCUACAGAUACUGAUGAAUGAGAGCCAACAUUUUUGUGUGGUAUCAGUCUCUUUUAAAGGGUUUGUGUAUAAGAGGAAAACUACCAUAUUAACAAACUAUUAUGUUUAGAAUGGAUAAGCAGAGAGGUCCUGCUGUACAGCACGGUGAACAGUAUCCCAACUCUCGAGGUAGAAAAUGAUGGAAGACCGUAGGAAAAAAUAAUGUGUAUCAGUAUAUGACUAUGCUGCACAGCAGAAAUGGGCACAGCAAUGUAAAUCAACUAUACGUAAAAAUUGUUAUGAAAAUAAAAAUUUAAUGAGUGCAUAAAAAAGGAAACGUCCAUUAAAAGAAAUACGGAGAUUAAGUGAGAAUUUCUUAAAUUAUUUCAUAUGAAAAUUUAAAAACUUGCCUUGGGGUGCCUGGGAAAGGGAAUUCCAUGUUUAAAAAAAUAGAAAAGGAAACGAAAGGGAGAGGGAGUAAAGGCAAGACCAAAUUGCACAGUCCAUGGUGACAGGUAUCAUGAGACGCUUCCCAUCCCACGGACCCCUGGAAGUUCAGGUAGGGUAUUGAUAUCUUACCCAGCCCUUUAAUAAAUUGAUCAACAAAGAAGGUCAAGCUAAGGGAACACAGGAGGGACAGUAUUGGAUUGAAGAUGACUCCUGGUGGCAUAUGCGUCCUGUACGAUGAAAACCUGUCUGAAACUCCGAGGUCCACUGAAGGAGGAAUCUGGUUCAAUGUCCACAAAGCAGUGACCCAAUAGGCCGAGGUCAGGAAACCACGAGGGUGACUGACAGAGCACGGGCAUUCCAGCGUUUUCCUGGUGUUAGCCCAAUGGGAAAAUGUGAGCACCCGUCCGGCAGUAUCAGAGAACUGAAUCUAGAGAGAAAGGGAGUGAAGGCAUUUGCCAGGUCCUUGGUGACCCCCAUGGUAUGCCGCAUGCCAGGCUACGGCCAGGUGUGUGUGUGGAAGCCGCGAGCCUGGAGAAUGGCUGUGCCAUUGGGUCUCCUGCUCUUGGCUUUGUACUCCUCAGUGUGCAGCCGCCGGACCCGAAGGCAGGCUCCUUCCUGGAUGAGCAGGCGAGGAUGGCAGCGUUGUCUCUGGAUCCAGAAGGCCAGUGGUGGAAGCCGAAGGCCAGGCCAGGCUGCGUGGGGCCGAGACCCCUCCUCUGGCGGUGGUGGCAGGAGAGAUCCCAAGCAGGCAGCCGCGAGGCCCGAAGUCCGGCUCCUUCCUGGAUGAGCAGGCGAGGAUGGCAGCGUUGUCUUUGGAGCCAGGGGACCAGUGGUGGAAGCCGAAGGCCGGGCCAGGCUCCGUGGAGCCGAGACCCCUCCUCUGGCGGUGGUGGCAGGAGAGAUCCCAAGAGUGUGUACCCCUCAGAGCAAUUGCACUGGAGAUGCUUUAGCAUCUUCCGUACGGACCCGAGCUCUGGGAUUGCCUCUGAACAUACGUGUUAGGACAUGGGAGAGUCACAGGACAUGCUCCCGCUCUUUCGGCUUCUGCUGAGCUCAAGAUUGUCAGGCCGCCUCCGCGCCAGCAAAGAAGCGAAGGAGGGUGCACCGGACCUGAAUGCAGCUUUCUUCCUUGAUGAGCAGGACAGGAGCUCAAAGGGAUGUUGGCCUCCGCUGGGAUGAAGGCUCUCCUCUUGGAGUUGUUCUAGGAGAGACCAAGGGCCACACCCGCGGCAUUUGGAAGUUUCUAGGCUAGGGGUCAAAUCGGAGCCAUAGCCGCCGGCCUACACCACAGCCACAGCAACACAGGAUCCAAGCCACAUCUGCAGCCUACGCCACAGCUCAAGCCACGCUGGAUCCCUAACCCACGGCGCAAGGCCAGGAAUUGAGCUCCCUUCUUCGUGGAUACCAGUUGGGUUUGUUACCGCUGAGCCACAAUGGGAACUCCCCAGCAUAACUGUUUUAAAAAGAUAUAUUACUGUGAGAAUAAACUUACCUAAUAAGGA
rnacentral:lncRNA from 1 species